AGGUCGAGUCCGACGACGAAACCGGGCAGACCUUGAUCCACGGGAUGGGCGAGCUUCACCUCGAGGUUCUGGUCGAGCGAAUGCUGCGCGAGUUCAAGGUCGAUGCGAACGUCGGCAAGCCCCAGGUCGCCUAUCGCGAGACGAUUCGCCAGCCGGUGCAGAAGGUCGAGGGACGCUUCGUCCGCCAGACCGGCGGCCGCGGCCAGUACGGCCACGCGGUGAUCAACCUCGAGCCGGCGCCCGGAGAGGGCUUCGACUUCAUCAACACGAUCAAGGGCGGCAAGAUCCCGACCGAGUACAUCCCCUCGGUGGAG
rnacentral:misc_RNA from 1 species